CAGUCGCCGCGGUAAUACGUAGGGUGCAAGCGUUAAUCGGAAUUACUGGGCGUAAAGCGUGCGCAGGCGGUCCGCUAAGACAGAUGUGAAAUCCCCGGGCUUAACCUGGGUACUGCAUUUGUGACUGGCGGGCUAGAGUAUGGCAGAGGGGGGUAGAAUUCCACGUGUAGCAGUGAAAUGCGUAGAGAUGUGGAGGAAUACCGAUGGCGAAGGCAGCCCCCUGGGCCAAUACUGACGCUCAUGCACGAAAGCGUGGGGAGCAAACAGGAUUAGAUACCCGCGUAGCCUGUCUCUUAUACAC
rnacentral:rRNA from 1 species